GGGGGCGUGGCUCAGCAGUAGAGCACCUGCCUAGCAUGCAUGAGGCACUGGGUUCUGUCCCCAGCACCACAA
rnacentral:tRNA from 1 species